rnacentral:rRNA from 1 species
AUGGGGAACAAGGAGGAGGAGGAGGAGGGGGAGGAGCAGGAGCAGGAGCAGGAGGAGGGGGAGGAGGAGGAGGAGCAUGAUGAUGAUGAUGAUGAUGAUGAUGAGGAGGAGGAGGAGGAGGAGGAGGAGGAGCAGGCGAUAGAGGGCCUCCCCAACGACCUCUUCCGGGAGAUCCUGUCGAAGGUGCCGUACCGGUCGCUCUGCCGCCUCAAGUGCGUGUCCACGGCGUGGUUCAUUCUCUGCUACGACCCAGCUGUCCUCAAGAGGUCGCCCCAGACGCUCUCCGGCUUCUUCGGCCUCUCCGGCAGCGGCAACAACAGCUUCAUCAACCUAUCCGGAAAAGGCCAGCCGCUGGUCGACCCCUCUCUCUGUUUCUUGUGCGACCACGACUACGUCUGUCUCCUAGACUGCUGCGCCGGCAUUCUCCUCUGCCAAGGCUGGAAUCAGGCCACCAAACGCUCGGAAUACGUCGUGUGCAACCCUGCCACCGAGGAGAUUUGGGCUGCGGUGAGUGUGCCUCACACGCAAGAGAAGGGAGCUCCGCGACACUACACCUUCUGCUUGUGUUUCGACCCCGCCGUACCUCACCGUUUUGCAGUAUUCAUCUUCAUUCCUGGUUUCUACGACAUAAGUAUGGUAGAGGUAUACACAUCGGAUACCCGAAAAUGGACUUCCAUGCCGAGCGGAUGGGGUGAAUGGAUUCGGGUGUUUGGUGGCGAAGGAUAUGUUUUCUUAAAUGACACUCUGCAUUUCAUUGCCUAUGAUUCCGAGGAGGACACAUUUGACUCGGAUGGGGUCACAACACGCUCGAUAGUUACCAUAGACACGUCUGGCAAUACGUGGAGGAAAAUUCCACAACCGCCCAAAGUUGAUUUUACUUUUAUCGGACAAUCUCUGGGGUGCUUGUAUGGUAUGCAGAUAGAUCAUGGUAACGGUUGUCUGCUAUCAGUUUGGGCUCUUGAGAACUAUGCUAGUGGACAGUGGACCUUAAAGCACACUGCCAGCAUUUUGGAGCUGCUAGAAAGGCCUUGUCUAGAGCACGGUGAGCACUACACCUUGGUUGCAAUCCAUCCGGAACAGAACCUAAUUUUCCUUAGUGGAGGGGUGGAAUCGGAACAGACACUUAUGUCGUAUGAUAUGGAUACCCAGAAAUUGCAUAGUAUCUGCACUCUUGGAAACUAUGGUAUUGUAAACCUUCAGCCAUACGUUCCCUGUUUUGCGGAACGGCCAUCUGAUGCUCAGUGA